UGGGGAAUAUUGCACAAUGGGCGCAAGCCUGAUGCAGCAACGCCGCGUGAGGGACGACGGCCUUCGGGUUGUAAACCUCUCUUGGCAGGGAAGAAGCGAAAGUGACGGUACCUGCAGAAAAAGCACCGGCUAACUACGUGCCAGCAGCCGCGGUGAUACGUAGGGUGCAAGCGUUGUCCGGAAUUAUUGGGCGUAAAGAGCUCGUAGGCGGUUUGUCGCGUCUGCUGUGAAAACCCGAGGCUCAACCUCGGGCCUGCAGUGGGUACGGGCAAACUAGAGUGCGGUAGGGGAGAUUGGAAUUCCUGGUGGAGCGGUGGAAUGCGCAGAUAUCAGGAGGAACACCGAUGGCGAAGGCAGAUCUCUGGGCCGUAACUGACGCUGAGGAGCGAAAGCAUGGGGAGCGAACA
rnacentral:rRNA from 1 species